rnacentral:lncRNA from 1 species
CAGGCAUAUAACUCAUAUGUAUAAAAAUCUGGUUCCCAUUCCAUCCAUGGUCAAACCCAUAUCCACAACAGGAUCUAUGACUAUAACUAUACACUAUAUACAAUAAAAGGUUUAUAAUACACCAAAAUGUAUAAACCUUUAUCUAUAUUAUACUAUACUAUGGAGCGGCACAGCUAGCAGGCAAUCUCUAACCCUGCUCCUCUCUAUACAAUACCUGCCCUGCAAUCAAAAACA